AGGUUACUGCUAUCGAGGUUCGACUAAGCCAUGCGAGUCGAAUGUAGCAAUACAUGGCGUACUGCUCAGUAACACGUGGAUAACCUGCCCUUGAGACGGGGAUAAACCCGGGAAACUGGGUAUAAUACCCGAUAGAUCUCGGCUGCUGGAAUGCACCGAGUUCUAAAGCUCCGGCGCUCAAGGAUGGAUCUGCGGCCUAUCAGGUAGUAGUGGGUGUAGCGUACCUACUAGCCUACGACGGGUACGGGUUGUGAGAGCAAGAGCCCGGAGAUGGAUUCUGAGACACGAAUCCAGGCCCUACGGGGUGCAGCAGGCGCGAAAACUUUACAAUGCUGGAAACAGCGAUAAGGGGACCUCGAGUGCCAGGUUACAAAUCUGGCUGUCGUGAUGCCUAAAAAGCAUUGCAUAGCAAGGGCCGGGCAAGACCGGUGCCAGCCGCCGCGGUAACACCGGCGGCUCGAGUGGUAACCGUUAUUAUUGGGUCUAAAGGGUCUGUAGCCGGCCGGAUAAGCCUCUUGGGAAAUCUGGCAGCUUAACUGUCAGGCUUUCAGGAGAUACUGUCUGGCUCGAGGCCGGGAGAGGUGAGAGGUACUUCAGGGGUAGGGGUGAAAUCUUGUAAUCCUUGAAGGACCACCAGUGGCGAAGGCGUCUCACCAGAACGGACCUGACGGCAAGGGACGAAAGCUAGGGGCACGAACCGGAUUAGAUACCCGGGUAGUCCUAGCCGUAAACGAUACUCGCUAGGUGUCGGCCACGGUGCGACCGUUGUCGGUGCCGUAGGGAAGCCGUGAAGCGAGCCACCUGGGAAGUACGGCCGCAAGGCUGAAACUUAAAGGAAUUGGCGGGGG
rnacentral:rRNA from 1 species